rnacentral:lncRNA from 1 species
AAGCUAAAGUUCCACCUGGGUAAUACAAAUGACUGCCUGAGUGAACAGGCAGCAUGGGAUUUACAGAAUGAAACAGGGAGAGGCCAAGGGAGGGAAUGGCCAGAAUCAUCUCAAGGAUGGAGUCUGAACUUGACCAGAUGCUACAGAAGUCAUUCUGGAAGAGACUGGAAGGUGAAUUAUUCUGGGCAGCAGAAAUAGGAAGAGCUGAAGCUUGGCAACAUUGAAGUUCAAGGCAGAUGCAGUGUGUGUAUAAGCUAUUCUCCCGGAACACAGCUGAAUGUGUAACAAAACUACAGAGAGAAUGCCACUUUGUUAAAAUUAACUGGAAAAUUCCUGGAAUCCAGUUACAGAGGAGGAGUGAUGAGCAAAGGGAUCAAGACCAGGACCAGACUGGAGAAAUGCACAGAAACAGCUGACCUGAAUAACGGGAGUCAUGGACUCCAGACUAAUAGCUGGGAAACCAGCAUUGGACCAACCCAGACCCCAUGAAUGUGGGUGUCAAUUAGGAGGCCUGGGCAAUCUAUGGGGCCUCUGGUAGUGGAUCAGUAUUUAUCCCUAGUGUACGAAUGGACUUUGGGAGCCCAUUCUACAUGGAGAGAUACUCUCUCAGCCUAGACACACGGGGGGAGGGCCUAGGCCCUGCUUCAAAUGGCGACAGACUUUGAAGAUCCCUCAUGGAAGGCCUUAACCUCCCUGUAGAGCAGAAAGGGGAUAGGAUAG